UGUGUCAUUCGAAGUCAGUAAUGGAUUU
rnacentral:piRNA from 1 species